UUGCUUUCCAUGCAAGUCGUACGAGAGUUUUUAAUUCAAGUGGCGGACGGGUGAGCAACACGUAAGAAUUUGCCUCUAGGAGGGGGACAACAACUGGAAACGGUUGCUAAUACCCCAUAUGCUUCCGAGUGAAAUGGAAUUUUCCGCCUAGAGAGAGGCUUGCGGCUGAUUAGCUCGUUGGUAAGGUAAUGGCUCACCAAGGCGACGAUCAGUAUCUGGUUUGAGAGGACGAUCAGACACACUGGAACUGAGACACGGUCCAGACUCCUACGGGAGGCAGCAGUGGGGAAUUUUCCGCAAUGGGCGAAAGCCUGACGGAGCAAUACCGCGUGAGGGAUGACGGCCUAUGGGUUGUAAACCUCUUUUUUCAGGGAGGAAUAAAAUGACGUGUACCUGAAGAAUAAGCAUCGGCUAACUCCGUGCCAGCAGCCGCGGUAAGACGGAGGAUGCAAGUGUUAUCCGGAAUCACUGGGCGUAAAGCGUCUGUAGGUGGUUUGAUAAGUCAACUGUUAAAUCUUGAGGCUCAACCUCAAAAUCGCAAUCGAAACUAUUAGACUAGAGUAUAGUAGGGGUAAAGGGAAUUUCCAGUGGAGCGGUGAAAUGCGUAGAGAUUGGAAAGAACACCGAUGGCGAAGGCACUUUACUGGGCUAUUACUGACACUCAGAGACGAAAGCUAGGGUAGCAAAUGGGAUUAGAUACCCCAGUAGUCCUAGCCGUAAACAAUGGAUACUAGAUGUUUGAACAGAUCGACCUGUG
rnacentral:rRNA from 1 species